rnacentral:sRNA from 1 species
GCGAGACAAGUGGCCCGGUGACCGGUACCGACCGAUAAACUGGUGGUGGAACGACGCCGGGCGCAGCCUCCGGCCCGUGCCACCCAUGAUCAGCCAGCAGCCGCUGCAACCCCAGGGAG